rnacentral:rRNA from 1 species
UAAUGGGUGAUGGCGUGCCUUUUGUAGAAUGAACCGGCGAGUUACGAUUUGAUGCAAGGUUAAGCAGUAAAUGUGGAGCCGUAGCGAAAGCGAGUCUGAAUAGGGCGUUUAGUAUUUGGUCGUAGACCCGAAACCAGGUGAUCUACCCUUGGUCAGGUUGAAGUUCAGGUAACACUGAAUGGAGGACCGAACCGACUUACGUUGAAAAGUGAGCGGAUGAACUGAGGGUAGCGGAGAAAUUCCAAUCGAACCUGGAGAUAGCUGGUUCUCUCCGAAAUAGCUUUAGGGCUAGCCUCAAGUGAUGAUUAUUGGAGGUAGAGCACUGUUUGGACGAGGGGCCCCUCUCGGGUUACCGAAUUCAGACAAACUCCGAAUGCCAAUUAAUUUAACUUGGGAGUCAGAACAUGGGUGAUAAGGUCCGUGUUCGAAAGGGAAACAGCCCAGACCACCAGCUAAGGUCCCAAAAUAUAUGUUAAGUGGAAAAGGAUGUGGCGUUGCCCAGACAACUAGGAUGUUGGCUUAGAAGCAGCCAUCAUUUAAAGAGUGCGUAAUAGCUCACUAGUCGAGUGACACUGCGCCGAAAAUGUACCGGGGCUAAACAUAUUACCGAAGCUGUGGAUUGUCCUUUGGACAAUGGUAGGAGAGCGUUCUAAGGGCGUUGAAGCAUGAUCGUAAGGACAUGUGGAGCGCUUAGAAGUGAGAAUGCCGGUGUGAGUAGCGAAAGACGGGUGAGAAUCCCGUCCACCGAUUGACU